UGAGUACGAGCUGCUACGGCAGCGAAGUGGGUGAUGUCAAGCCUCCAAGAAAAGCCCUAUACCCGUUAAGGCAUGAUGGCCUGUACCCGAAACCGACACAGGUGGGGUGGUAGAGAAUACCGAGGGGCGCGAGAUAACUCUCUCUAAGGAACUCGGCAAAAUGGCCCCGUAACUUCGGGAGAAGGGGUGCCACCGCAAGGUGGUCGCAGUGAAGAGGCCCAGGCGACUGUUUACCAAAAACACAGGUCUCCGCUAAGUCGCAAGACGAUGUAUGGGGGCUGACGCCUGCCCAGUGCCGGAAGGUUAAGGAAGCUGGUCAGCGUAAGCGAAGCUAGCGACUGAAGCCCCGGUGAACGGCGGCCGUAACUAUAACGGUCCUAAGGUAGCGAAAUUCCUUGUCGGGUAAGUUCCGACCCGCACGAAAGGCGUAACGAUCUGGGCGCUGUCUCGGAGAGAGGCUCGGCGAAAUAGAAUUGUCUGUGAAGAUGCGGACUACGUGCACCCGGACAGAAAGACCCUAUGAAGCUUUACUGUAGCUUGGUAUUGUGCCCGGGCUCUGAAUGCGCAGGAUAGGUGGGAGGCUUUGAUCCAUUGCUUGUGGGUGAUGGUGAGCCAACGGUGAGAUACCACUCUUUCAGAGCUAGGGUUCUAACGGUCACCCGUCAUCCGGGGACCGGACAGUAUCAGGUGGGCAGUUUGACUGGGGCGGUCGCCUCCUAAAAGGUAACGGAGGCGCGCAAAGGUUUGCUCAGGCUGGUUGGAAAUCAGCCGACGAGUGUAAAAGCAGAAGCAAGCUUGACUGUGAGACCUACAAGUCGAACAGGGACGAAAGUCGGCUUUAGUGAUCCGACGGUUCUGAGUGGAAGGGCCGUCGCUCAACGGAUAAAAGUUACUCUAGGAUAACAGGCUGAUCUCCCCCAAGAGUUCACAUCGACGGGGAGGUUUGGCACCUCGAUGUCGGCUCAUCGCAACCUGGGGCUGAAGUCGGUCCCAAGGGUUGGGCUGUUCGCCCAUUAAAGCGGUACGCGAGCUGGGUUCAGAACGUCGUGAGACAGUUCGGUCCAUAUCCGGUGCAUGCGCAGGAAUAUUGAGAGGAUUUCUCCCUAGUACGAGAGGACCGGGAGGAACGCACCUCUGGUGUGCCAGUUAUCGUGCCAACGGUAAACGCUGGGUAGCCAUGUGCGGAGAGGAUAACCGCUGAAAGCAUCUAAGUGGGAAGCCCACCUCAAGAUGAGUAUUCCCAUGGCGUUAGCCAGUAAGGUCACGGGCAGAACACCCGUUGAUAGGCUCUACGUGGAAGCCGGGUAACCGGUGAAGCGGAGGAGUACUAAUAGACCGAGGGCUUGACCU
rnacentral:rRNA from 1 species